GACGAACGCUGGCGGCGUGCUUAACACAUGCAAGUCGAACGGAAAGGCCCUGCUUUUGUUGGGUGCUCGAGUGGCGAACGGAUGAGGAACACGUGAGUAGCCUGCCCUGGACUUUGGUAUAACUUCAGGGAACGGGGGCUAAUACCGUAUAGGAUCUCCUGCUGCAUUGUGGGGGUUGGAAAGGUUCGGCGGUUGGGUAGGGACUCGCGGCUUAUCAGCUUGUUGGUGGGGUAGUGGCGUAACAAGGCUUUGACGGGUAGCCGGCCUGAGAGGGUGACCGGCCACAUUGGGACUGAGAUACGGCGCAGAAUCCUGCGGGAGGCAGCAGUGGGGAAUAUUGCAAAAUGGGCGGAAGCCUGAUGCAGCAACGCCGCGUGCGGGAUGACGGCCUUCGGGUUGUAAACCGCUUUCGCCUGUGACGAAGCGUGAGUGACGGUAAUGGGUAAAGAAGCACCGGCUAACUACGUG
rnacentral:rRNA from 1 species